UUGAGAAUUUGAUCCUGGUUCAGAUUGAAUGCUGACGGCGUGGAUGAGGCAUGCAAGUCGCACGAAGUAGGAACUCGUUUCUACUUAGUGGCGGAAGGGUUAGUAAUACAUGAGAAACCUGCCUCUUACCUGGGGAUAACGGCUGGAAACGGCCGCUAAUACCGAAUGUUGUCACAGAGGGCAUCCGAUGUGAUAAAAGUGGGGGACCUGGCAACAGGCCUUGCGGUAAGAGAGGGUCUCAUGAGAUAUCAGCUUGUUGGUGUGGUAAAGGCGCACCAAGGCUAAGACGUCUAGGCGGGCUGAGAGGUUGACCGCCAACACUGGGACUGAGACACUGCCCAGACUCCUACGGGAGGCUGCAGUCGAGAAUCAUUCACAAUGGGCGAAAGCCUGAUGAUGCGACGCCGUGUGAGCGAAGAAGGCCUUCGGGUUGUAAAGCUCUUUCGCUUGAGAACAAGAGAAGUCGACGAAUAAUCGGCUGAUUUGAGGGUAUCAGGUAAAGAAGCACCGGCUAACUCCGUGCCAGCAGCUGCGGUAAUACGGAGGGUGCAAGCAUUAAUCGGAUUUACUGGGCGUAAAGAAUGCGUAGGCUGUUUCGUAAGUCAGAUGUGAAAUUCCGGGGCUUAACUCCGGCACUGCAUUUGAAACUGCGUGACUAGAGGAUAGACGGAGAAAGUAGAAUUCCAUAUGUAGCGGUGAAAUGCGUAGAUAUAUGGAGGAAUACCGGUGGCGAAGGCGACUUUCUAGUUUAUUCCUGACGCUGAGGUAUGAAAGCUAGGGGAGCAAACAGGAUUAGAUACCCUGGUAGUCCUAGCCGUAAACGAUGUACACUUGAUGUAAUUGGAAUCAACCCCGAUUGUGUCGAAGCUAACGCGAUAAGUGUACCGCCUGGAGAGUACGCUCGCAAGAGUGAAACCCAAAAGAAUUGACGGGGGCCCGCACAAGCAGUGGAGCAUGUGGUUUAAUUCGAUGCAACGCGAAGAACCUUACCUAGGCUUAAACUUAAGGGGACCGCACUGGAAACAGUGCUUUUCGUAAGAACCGCUUGAGAGGUGCUGCAUGGCUGUCGUCAGCUCGUGCCGUGAGGUGUUGGGUUAAGUCCCGCAACGAGCGCAACCCUUAUCAUUAGUUGCCAACGCGUAAUGGCGGGGACUCUAAUGAGACUGCCCAGGUUAACUGGGAGGAAGGUGAGGAUGACGUCAAGUCCGCAUGGCCUUUAUGUCUAGGGCUACACACGUGCUACAAUGGUCGGUACAGAAGGCUGCGAAACCGUGAGGUGGAGCAAAUCCAAAAAACCGAUCUCAGUUCGGAUUGAAGUCUGCAACUCGACUUCAUGAAGUUGGAAUUGCUAGUAAUGGCGUGUCAGCAAUAGCGCCGUGAAUACGUUCCCGGGCCUUGUACACACCGCCCGUCACAUCAUGGAAGUUGGUCUAACCCGAAGUCGCUGACUCAACCGCAAGGGGAGAGGCGCCUAAGGUCGGGCUGAUAACUCGGAUGAAGUCGUAACAAGGUAGCCCUACCGGAAGGUGGGGCUGGAUCACCUCCUUUU
rnacentral:rRNA from 1 species